UACGAAGGGGGCUAGCGUUGCUCGGAAUGACUGGGCGUAAAGGGCGCGUAGGCGGCUCGAUGCGUCGUGCGUGAAACACCCCGGCUCAACUGGGGAGGGUCGUGCGAUACGGUCGGGCUUGAGGCCAGUAGGGGGAUGCGGAAUUCCGGGUGUAGUGGUGGAAUGCGUAGAGAUCCGGAGGAACACCAGUGGCGAAGGCGACACGCUGGGUCAUACCUGACGCUAAAACGCGACAGCAUGGGGAGCGAACGGG
rnacentral:rRNA from 1 species